AGGACGAACGCUGGCGGCGUGCUUAACACAUGCAAGUCGAGCGGAAAGGCCCUUCGGGGUACUCGAGCGGCGAACGGGUGAGUAACACGUGAGCAACCUGCCCUUAGCUUCGGGAUAGCUCCGGGAAACCGGAAUUAAUACCGGAUAUGACUAUGGCCGACAUCAGCCAUGGUGGAAAGUUUUUCGGCUAGGGAUGGACUCGCGGCCUAUCAGCUAGUUGGUGAGGUAACGGCUCACCAAGGCGACGACGGGUAGCCGGCCUGAGAGGGCGACCGGCCACACUGGGACUGAGACACGGCCCAGACUCCUACGGGAGGCAGCAGUGGGGAAUAUUGCGCAAUGGGCAAAGCCUGACGCAGCGACGCCGCGUGGGGAUGGAAUGCCUUCGGGUUGUAAACCCCUUUCAGCAGGGACGAAGCGAAAGUGACGGUACCUGCAGAAGAAGCGCCGGCUAACUACGUGCCAGCAGCCGC
rnacentral:rRNA from 1 species